CACCAAUCCCUACUGGACAUCAAGAGUGAGAGUCACAAGCAGAUGUCUCUCAGAUGGGAACUGGCUGUCACAUAUGGGAUUUUUGCAAACUAUCAAGGGAAAUAAAUCCAUAAAUAGCUGGAACACAGUGUGAUCCACGAGUGACAGCCAUGUGAGCAGAGGCUGGCUAGCCUGCAGUAGUUGAACUAGUGGAUUCUCAUGCUGGCCCGGGAUUCAGGAAUCAGAAACCUGACAAGAGUGGCAUUCUUCAUUUGAAAGGUGAGUUGAGCCUUGAUGUAUAGUGGUUAAUACUCUGCAUUGUGAAAUGUGAGUUGGGCCCUCGGCAAAAUUGGGUCAUAUUGGUCUUUGACCCCCCG
rnacentral:lncRNA from 1 species